ACGGAAGGCAGCAGUGGGGGAUAUUGCACAAUGGGGGAAACCCUGAUGCAGCGACGCCGCGUGAGUGAUGAAGUAUUUCGGUAUGUAAAGCUCUAUCAGCAGGGAAGAAAAUGACGGUACCUGACUAAGAAGCUCCGGCUAAAUACGUGCCAGCAGCCGCGGUAAUACGUAUGGAGCAAGCGUUAUCCGGAUUUACUGGGUGUAAAGGGAGCGUAGACGGCGUGGCAAGUCUGAUGUGAAAGCUAUGGGCUCAACCCAUAAACUGCAUUGGAAACUGUCAUGCUAGAGUGUCGGAGAGGUAAGCGGAAUUCCUAGUGUAGCGGUGAAAUGCGUAGAUAUUAGGAGGAACACCAGUGGCGAAGGCGGCUUACUGGACGAUAACUGACGUUGAGGCACGAAAGCGUGGGGAUCGAACAGGAUUAGAUACCCUGGUA
rnacentral:rRNA from 1 species